rnacentral:rRNA from 1 species
CACGUAGUUAGCCGUGACUUUCUGGCGGGACACCAUCAGUCAGCACCCAUUUCCUGAUGCUGCCUUUUUUCCCCCGCAACAGAGCUUUACGACCCGAAGGCCUUCUUCACUCACGCGGCAUCGCUCGUUCAGGCUUGCGCCCAUUGACGAAAAUUCCCUACUGCUGCCUCCCGCAGGAGUCUGGGCCUGUCUCAGUCCCAAUGUGGCCGUCCGCCCUCUCAGGCCGGCUAUGCAUCAUCGUCUUGGUGGGCCUUUACCCGCCAACCAACUAAUGCACCGCAGGUCCAUCCGCGCCCCAUCCCCUAGACGGAUGUUUCACAGAAAGAGAUGCCUCCUUCCUGUACAUCGGGAUUUCGUUCUCCGUUCCAGACGUCGUGUUCCCGGUGCGGCGGGCAGGUUCCCUACGUCGUUACUCACCCGUUCGCCACUACGAGACCCCGGAAGGUCUCGUCGUUCGACUUGCAUGUAUUAGGCUAUCGCCGCCAGG